AUACGGAGGAUGCGAGCGUUAUCCGGAUUUAUUGGGUUUAAAGGGUGCGUAGGCUGUGCUGCAAGUCGGGGGUGAAAUAUCCGGGCUCAACCGGGAGGGUGCCUUCGAUACUGCAGUGCUGGAAUACUGUUGCCGCGGGAGGAAUGAGUAGUGUAGCGGUGAAAUGCAUAGAUAUUACUCAGAACACCGAUUGCGAAGGCAUCUCGCGAAGCAGUUAUUGACGCUGAGGCACGAAAGCGUGGGGAUCAAACAGGAUUAGAUACCCUGGUAGUCCACGCAGUAAACGAUGAUGACUAACCGCUGGUAUUUAGGUAUCAGUGGCCAAGCGAAAGCGAUAAGUCAUCCACCUGGGGAGUACGACCGCAAGGUUGAAACUCAAAGGAAUUGACGGGG
rnacentral:rRNA from 1 species